rnacentral:rRNA from 1 species
GCACGAAACUUGCCCCGAGAUGAGUUCUCCCUGAGACUAUAAGUCUCCUGAAGGAACGUUGAAGACGACGACGUUGAUAGGCCGGGUGUGUAAGCGCAGCGAUGCGUUGAGCUAACCGGUACUAAUGAACCGU